UGCAGUCGAGCGAGACCUUCGGGUCUAGCGGCGGACGGGUGAGUAACGCGUGGGAACGUGCCCUUCUCUACGGAACAGUCCCGGGAAACUGGGUUUAAUACCGUAUACGCCCUUCGGGGGAAAGAUUUAUCGGAGAAGGAUCGGCCCGCGUUAGAUUAGGUAGUUGGUGGGGUAAUGGCCUACCAAGCCUACGAUCUAUAGCUGGUUUGAGAGGAUGAUCAGCCACACUGGGACUGAGACACGGCCCAGACUCCUACGGGAGGCAGCAGUGGGGAAUCUUAGACAAUGGGGGCAACCCUGAUCUAGCCAUGCCGCGUGAGUGAUGAAGGCCUUAGGGUCGUAAAGCUCUUUCGCUGGGGAAGAUAAUGACUGUACCCAGUAAAGAAACCCCGGCUAACUCCGUGCCAGCAGCCGCGGUAAUACGGAGGGGGUUAGCGUUGUUCGGAAUUACUGGGCGUAAAGCGCGCGUAGGCGGAUCAGAAAGUUGGGGGUGAAAUCCCGGGGCUCAACCUCGGAACUGCCUCCAAAACUCCUGGUCUUGAGUUCGAGAGAGGUGAGUGGAACUCCGAGUGUAGAGGUGAAAUUCGUAGAUAUUCGGAAGAACACCAGUGGCGAAGGCGGCUCACUGGCUCGAUACUGACGCUGAGGUGCGAAAGUGUGGGGAGCAAACAGGAUUAGAUACCCUGGUAGUCCACACCGUAAACGAU
rnacentral:rRNA from 1 species